AGAGGCUCAGCCUGCUCACACCUGGGCCCCCGAGUCCCGGGGGGACCAGCGGGCGCCGUGCCCACCCCGAGCCUCUGUCACGGGGCUAUGGCUACUCCUCCAGCCGGAUGGCGCCAUAGAAUAAAACCGAGGGGACAAAAAGAACGCGGUAACGGCGGUAUGAAACGACGUGUGUUGUACAGCUGGCCUGUCACAGGAACCGCAAGACAUGGAGAAAUAAAACCCUUGCUGACCGUGAAAGUGAAGGGCCUGGGCACAUCUGGUGUUGCAUGUAACAGUUGUUCAUUGAGAUGACUGUUCUAGCGGCUUUAAUUACUUGCAUCUUGUUUUAAUUAUCAUUUGUGUUGUAAGUCACUUUCCUUCAGCUACAGGAUUUAUGGGAAAUUGCUUUGCAACAGCAGUGGGUUGAUAUCUGCCAUACUAAUUGUAGAGUUUAAAUUUAAGUAAAU